rnacentral:lncRNA from 1 species
CCGUCCCUGAUAGAAAGAGAGUAGUUCUCCUCCGCCCUGGUGAAGAUCCUCACGGUGGGCUGACGAGGCCGCGAUGGCUCCUCCUCGCAGCCGUCGCGGCCGCCAGAGGAGUACGGCGUGGGACGGCGGUGGUGGAGCUCGUCGCCGCCUCCACCCCCACCGUAGUAGCCGCCAGCGGGAGGGUGGGGGCGGGACUCGCCGUACCCCUGCGUCACGUGCUGGACGGGCGGGUAGGCGGGUCGGCCGUACUCCUCGGCACCGCCGCCGUGGUAACCGGGAGCGGGAGGUUGGGGGAGGGUCUCUCCGUACCGGGCCCCGCCACCGUGCGAGACGUGUUGAACGGGAGGGUGGGCAGGGCGGCCGUACUCCUCCUCAGCGCCGCCGCCGCCGUAGUAAGAGGAGGGAGGAGGCGGCUGGCCGUGGUGGUGCUGGCCGGGCGGGGGGAAGCGACGCUCCUCCCUCUCAUCCUCCUCGUCGCGGCGUUGCUGGUGGUGGCGGUGGUGG